ensembl:lncRNA
CAUCGGACAGCCCGCACUGACCCCAUCAUGGAAACAAGGACAGCUGUGUUAUGGCCGGGAAGGAAGGACCCCUAUGAAAUAUCACCUGUCUGUCUGCCCCUUCUGUCUCCUCACCCACUCACCGAGGAGGUUGUUAUUGAACGAGAGGAAAAACAAUAGUACAAUUAUAGUAGGAAUGUGAUUCCCUUCACGGCUAGUCACUUCACCCCAUGCAAGAGAACAGGAGGAAUGAACUGCAUGCCUAACGUACAAAGCUCGCUACGACUAUGCAGAGAGAGAGAGAGAGAACUGGAAAGGACGUUUCUUGGAAGAAGAACAAACACAGGAUGACAGGGAUAUUACAACUCUGAGAGCAAUCCUUCGAGAAUGGUCAGAAGAGGGAAAGCAUUAUGGAUAAACUUCAGUAAAUCAACAAAAUGGAUUCUAAAUGCAUGCUUGAGGUGGAAUUCAGAAUUCAUCAACUCAAGUUUCAAGAACAGAAAGAAUGAACAAUGGUGACUUGUGAAAGGCUGGGGAAGAGAGGAGAAACACUCAAUGAUGCAGUAACAUCAGGCCUAGAGAGGUAUCUGAAUAAAUGAUACUAGACACAAGAGAGAGAGAGUAAGAGAGAGAGAGAGAGCAGAUAUAUAUAGUACUUGUUAGAAGUGCAACACCACCCUUAUGUCUGAGUGUCAUGUGUAUAACUCAUAAACACAACGUGACUCUUCACACCCUGGCUGAGAGACACACUGAGGUGCACAACUAAUUAACUUCUGUAAAUAACAAUGAAAGAUAUGAAAAUAAAGAUAUCACAUUGCUAAUAUGCAGUGAUUGACCAUAUCUUUGAUAUGUGGUGUCAAGUGCACGCACAAGUAAUAACACAGCGUGUAAAAUAAAUAAAGGAAUUGAUCGAAUGCAGACCACACAACAAAGGAAACUACAAAUAUAACUUUUUGCAACAGCACACACCAGUGUAUGACCAUUCCAUUUAAAUCGAUUCAAAUUGUAUAAUAUAUUUAUUUAAAGUAUGUCAGAGGAACAGUACGAUCAUUAGUAUUUAUAAAUUGUGUAAGAGAUUAUGAUGAAUGCAUGUACGAUAUCUAUCCUAUAAUUGUAAAGGCUCCGACAGAGAUGUACUUGAGAAAAGUGAUACAGAACAAAAAAGACGAAAUACCAAAUAUUUGAAUACUACAGUAUCUAUAUAGGAAACAAAGCAUAAUCACAUGUUCAAGUCUUAAGCACAGUAACAAUGCAGAUGACAUUUCUAAAAUGAAUUUAGCACACUUUAGUAGGCCUAAAAUGACUUGUAUUGUUUAAAUAUAGAAUGAGAGCAUCAAAUCCAAUCUAAUCACAUUGUAUUUGACACAGGCGCCAAGUACAACAGAUUACAACCUUACCGUGAAAUUAAAAAGUUAAGAAAAUAUUUACCAAAUAAAGUAAAGUUUUAAAAAAGUAACAAAAAUAAUCCUUAGUGUAUUAUGGUGAAACUAUCAUUCCGUUGAUAUCAGGAUCCAAAUUAGCCUGGUCUCAGAUCUGUUUGUGCUGCUUAGCCAACAUCUAUGGUCAUUGUCAUGGCAAGGCAGACCAAACAGAUCUGAGACCAGGCUAGAUCCAAGUCACUCACAGCCAAACAAAGUGCCUGUAUUGUUGUAGCAGCAAUGUAAGAUAUAGUAGAGAGAGCCUAGCCAGGUCCUAGAUCUGUUUGGGCUGUCUUGCCAACUGACCAGUUGGCACAAGACAAUACAAACAGAUCUGUGACCAGGCUAGGGCCCCCUCCUAGGACAAUAUGAUACAGUAUUUACUUUAGUUCUAGGGCCUCCCUCCUAGGACAAUAUAAUACUGUAUUACUGUAGUAGAUGUGUCUCCCUCCUAAGACAAUAUAAUACAUUAUUUACUGUAGUAGAGGGGUCUCUCUCCCAGGACAAUAUAAUAGUGUAUUUAUUGUAGUAGAGGGGCCUUCCUUCCUAGGACAAUAUAAUACUGUAUUUACUGUAGUAGAGAGGGUUGCCUCCUAGGAAAAUAUAGUAUUUAACUGAUUGUAGUAGAGGGGCCUCCCUCUCAGGAAAAUACAAUACUGUAUUUACUGUAGUAGAGGGGCCUUCCUUCCUUGGACAAUAUAAUACUGUAUUUACUGUAGUAGAGGGGCCUGCCUCCUAUGGCAAUUCAGUACUGUAUUGACUGUAGUAGAGGGGCCUCCCUCCUAGGACAAUACAAUACUGGAUUUACUGUAGUAGAGGGGCCUCCCUCCUAGAACAAUACAAUACUGUAUUUACUGUAGUAGAGGGGCCUCCCUCCUAGAACAAUACAAUACUGUAUUUACUGUAGUAGAGAGGCCUCCCUCCUAGAACAAUACAAUACUGUAUUUACUGUAGUAGAGAGGGUUGCCUCCUAGGAAAAUAUAGUAUUUAACUGAUUGUAGUAGAGGGGCCUUCCUCUCAGGAAAAUACAAUACUGUAUUUACUGUAGUAGAGGGGCCUUCCUUCCUU